CCUUAUGUUUUUACAUUAUUUGUAGAAAAGUCAUCUAAACCUUGUUCCCGCUCUCAGUGCUCCAUCUCCGGUUGCGUUCCUCUCCCGGAAUAUUUGAUCGUCUGACUUCCCGCUCCUGCGCAGUCUGUCCUGGCCUAAACACCACUUUAACUUUCGUAUUUUCUUCUCUCUCCCCUCCGCAAAUAUGUCGGAGUACAGCUCGGUACCCGCACCCGGGGCUGGAGCUCCUCUCGGCGGACAUCUAGCUAUCGGUAACGGUGGUGGAAUAAAAAAAGAUGCCUUUGCAGACGCGGUACAACGGGCCCGGCAGAUUGCUGCCAAGAUUGGUGAAUGUGCAGGGGUAGCCCCUAUGAACAACAUCAAUGCACCAGACGUCUUUCCCUUCACAGCACAGAAACGACAGCUGGAGGACCCAGAUCAACCUGAGAGCAAGAAAAUGGCUCCACAGAGUGAUGUGGACUCAGCUACAGCUCUCUCUAUCGGAGCCCAACUUGCAGCACUGGCCCAGCAGAGUGCCAGGCUCACAACCACCUCAGAGGAGUACAGUGUUCCUGAUGGAAUGGUGGGACUCAUCAUUGGCCGGGGCGGAGAACAGAUCAACAAGAUCCAGCAGGAAUCAGGCUGCAAGGUUCAGAUAGCCUCAGACAGUGGAGGUUUACCAGAGAGGAGUGUCUCUCUCACAGGGUCCCCAGACUCCAUACAGAAAGCCAAGAUUUUAUUAGAUGAGAUUGUGUCUCGGGGGAGGGGCACGCCCCCCUCAUCCUUCCACGAGGCAACCAAUGGACAGAGUGGCUCAGGGCAGGAGAUGAUGAUUCCCGCAGGCAAGGCUGGCCUCAUCAUCGGCAAGGGAGGGGAGACCAUCAAACAGCUACAGGAGCGAGCAGGAGUGAAGAUGAUCCUGAUUCAGGACGCGUCUCAGGGACCCAACAUGGACAAGCCCCUGCGCAUCAUCGGGGAGCCAUACAAAGUGGAGCAAGCCAUGGAGUUGGUGCAGGAGAUACUGAGGGAGAGGGAUCAGCCUGGCUUCGGAGACAGGAACGAGUAUGGCUCCCGCAUGGGGGGAGGUGGGGGAGCCAUGGACGUAAGUGAGAGGGAGGUUCCAGUGCCACGACACUCUGUCGGGGUGGUGAUUGGUCGCAACGGGGAGAUGAUCAAGAAGAUUCAGAACGACGCAGGAGUUAGGAUACAGUUUAAACCAGAUGAUGGCACAGGUCCUGAUAAGAUGGCCCACAUCAUGGGCCCACCAGACUGCUGUGACAAUGCUGCCCAGAUCAUCCAGGAGCUACUGCAGAGCAUCAGGGUCAGAGAGGAGGGUCCUCCCGGCCCUCCAGGCAUGUCCCCGAGUGGUGGCGGCAGGGGCCGCAGCAGAGGGGACCAGGGGAGCUGGGGUCCCCCUGGUGGUGGAGGAGGGGAGAUGACUUUCUCCAUUCCGGCCCACAAGUGUGGCCUGGUGAUCGGACGGGGCGGGGAGAACAUCAAGGCCAUCAACCAGCAGACUGGGGCCUUUGUGGAGAUCUCUCGCCAGCUGCCCCCCAACGGGGACCCUAACUUCAAGCUCUUUGUCAUUCGAGGCUCUCCGCAGCAGAUAGAUCACGCCAAGCAGCUCAUCGAGGACAAGAUCGAGGGUCCCCUCUGCCCUGUUUGUCCAGGUCCUGGUGGACCAGGCCCCAUGGGUCCCUAUAAUCCUGGUCCCUACAACCCAGGACCCCCAGGAGCCCCUGGACCACAUGGAGGUCUUCAUGGCUACCCCCCACAGGGCUGGGGCAACACCUACCAGCAGUGGCAGCCCCAAGUAACCCACGACCCCACACAGGCAGAUAGCAGGGCACGCUCAGCCCUAUGAGGACCUCACCUCCAACUGCCAUCUUUUUUAGGCAAGGCAGCCGGUGCCGCGGACCCUAACGCAGCCUGGGCAGCCUAUUAUGGCCAGUACUACCAGGGAGGGCAGCCAGGGGGAGCAGGGCCCGGCCAGCCCCCCACCAACCCCACCGCUGGUGGCCCAGCACCUGGAGACCAGCCCCAGGCCAGCCAGACCCCUGGGGGCCAGCCUGACUACACCAAGGCCUGGGAGGAAUACUACAAGAAGAUGGGUGUUGGUGAGACCACUGGUCCACUAUAGUUACUAGAAUAACACCACAGGGGGAAAGAUAGCAGUAGUUUCCCUCUUAGAAUAGGAAAGAUGGGCACUGUCUAAUUCUGUCAUUUUAGACCGUGUCUAUCUUUCCCAUGUAAUGUUGUAUCGAGGCGUAUAGCUGUCUCUACUGUUGUGGGCUGUUGACUACGCUUGACUUUAGAUUACUUUCAAGGUCUAAAAUCAUCUGACAAACUUUAAUUUUGAAGUGAACCAGUGCUUUAAGAACAUGAAUCUUUCAUCAUGUUAACCUUGUCGAUCAUAGCAUAUCUCUUCUUCAUCCAUAAGACCCCCUCUCCUCUGCUCCCCUAGCCCAGGCAGGAGGCUCUGCAGCAGGGCCAGGAGCAGCAGGUGCCCCAGCAGCCCCAGGUGGAGGCCAGCAGGACUACAGUGCAGCCUGGGCAGAGUACUACAGGCAGCAGGCUGCUUACUACGGCCAAACAGGACAGGCCCCAGGACAGCCUGCUACCCCUCAGCAAGGCCAGCAGACACAGUGAGAGGCUCGGCUGAGACUCAUAAAGAGCGAGAAUAAAGAAAGGCUACUACCACUUAACCCAACCAGUCAACAGAAUCCGGGCCAUUUAAAAAUAAAAAUUAUUUUCUAUAUUUUUUGUUCUGAAGUGAUUCUGUGCUGGCAGUCCUUUCCCUGUCCCUCCCCUUUCCCCAUCCAACUCACCACUUGUUUAAAUAAAUAUGCGAAGAGAACAAACUAUUGCUUUGCCUGUGAGCUGAAUAAUGGGAUGGAUUUCUAGGACUGUUAUCUUUCAUUUUGGUUCCCUGAUAUCUUCCCUUGUUUUAUCUGUCAAUAAAAACAUGAACUUGGGAGAUUUGAACUCGAAACCAUGAAAGCCAGAUUUACUUCCGGAAAUGCUCAUCACUCACCCAAUGAAAUCCCGCAUUCCCCUUUUUUAAUUGUAUUUACCACAGCCAAACUGUCUAUUCAAGUGACUUACUUCUAGUCCUACACUACUAAUACUGCAUUUACUGAAAUUAACAUUGAUUUAUAAAGAUUACAAUCAAUUAUGUUAAUGGUCAAAUGAUUAAGAGUGGGAGGUUUUGCUUUUAAAGGUGAUUAUUUGAAUUGCUUGGUAGUUUGAUUUCUCCUCCAUCUGGAACAUUCCCAUCACCUAAGUUGCUUGGUCUUCAUACAUUUUGAGCUUUGGUUUUGAUUUUAUGUUCCGUGAAUUAUAUUUUUGUUUUCUCUUUGUGUGUGUGACUGUACAGUAUUUAGAAUGUGUCCCCACAAGUGAUGAUAAACAUGAGUGUGUUUGCACAGCGGAAGACUUCAGUGAUUGUGGAAUGCUAGUUAACAUAACCACGGGUAUAUCUACAGUGGGAAGUUACCUACUGCAUACAUCACAUAACAAUAGUCUGUUCAACUCAACCUGUUGCACGGGAGACGAAUGGUGUUAGAAGUUUUAGUUUUCCUUGAUCUGUGACAUGGUCUUCUACAUUUGUACGUUUUUGUUUUUUAUUUUUCAAUUGUUUUGAAUAAAGUUCCAAUAAAAGAUGUCCUGACCUCCCACCAGUUAGAUCAGCUUCUGAUGGUCAUUGGGGACCGGUAUUAUCCCUGCCCAGGGAAAAACCUGUGGCCAUAGUUAUAGGCUUUAAACGGGGCUGGUUGCAAAAUUCAGGAACUUUCAAUAAAUUCCCUGAAAUACCAGUAGGAGGAUUCCCAGAAUCAGGAGGAAAUAAGCAGGAAAUCCAGAAUCCUCCAACUUGAAUUUCUGGAAAACCAGGGAAUUUAUUGAAAGUUCACAGAAUUUUGCAACUCUAACUAGGGUCCCUGGUCCGGGAAAAACUCCUGGCCCUAUUCAGAGUGAGUUACGGUUGCACUGGAAUAAGCUAUGGUUGAAGUCAUGAGUAAGAUGGCAAUUUAUGGUUGUUGAUGUUGUUAAUCUCAGGGUUGUAUUCAUAAGGGACUAACAGACUGAAACAGGGAGGGACUACCUGGACUUGUCCAAUAAGUGCAAAUGUUCUGUUGCAAAACGUUUUGGUACUGUGUGCCCAAAUGAACAUGACCCAGACAUGUUGAAUCACUAACUCUUGAUGAAGAAUGGCAGCUUGGGCACUGUAUUGGAGUCUGCAUUUUGCAAGGCACAGUGUUGGUAUUGUGAAUAAAAUGACCACCAGCAGCAAUAUUCUGUUGAAUUAAAAGGGUGAAAAGUCAACAUUU